rnacentral:rRNA from 1 species
GACGAACGCUGGCGGCGUGCUUAACACAUGCAAGUCGAACGGAAAGGCCCUGCUUUUGUGGGGUGCUCGAGUGGCGAACGGGUGAGUAACACGUGAGUAACCUGCCCUUGACUUUAGGAUAACUUCAGGAAACUGGGGCUAAUACCGGAUAGGAGCUCCUGCUGCAUGGUGGGGGUUGGAAAGUUUCGGCGGUUGGGGAUGGACUCGCGGCUUAUCAGCUUGUUGGCGGGGUAGUGGCUUACCAAGGCUUUGACGGGUAGCCGGCCUGAGAGGGUGACCGGCCACAUUGGGACUGAGAUACGGCCCAGACUCCUACGGGAGGCAGCAGUGGGGAAUAUUGCACAAUGGGCGGAAGCCUGAUGCAGCAACGCCGCGUGCGGGAUGACGGCCUUCGGGUUGUAAACCGCUUUCGCCUGUGACGAAGCGUGAGUGACGGUAAUGGGUAAAGAAGCACCGGCUAACUACGUG